rnacentral:rRNA from 1 species
AUUGAACGCUGGCGGCAUGGCUAAAACAUGCAAGUCGAACGUGUGCAGCAAUGCAUAAGUGGCGAAAGGGUCAGUAAUGCGAUCGAACGUACCCUGAGGUGGAGGAUAGGGCGGGGAAACUCGCCAUAAUACUCCAUGAUGUCCUCGGACCAAAGGUUUACCGCCUUGGGAGCGGCGAUCGUCCUAUCAGGUAGUUGGUGAGGUAAAGGCUCACCAAGCCGAAGACGGGUAGCAGGUGUGAGAGCACGACCUGCGACAUCGGGACUGAGACACUGCCCGGACUUCUACGGAAGGCUGCAGUAACGAAUCUUCCGCAAUGGG